AUACGGAAGGUCCGGGCGUUAUCCGGAUUUAUUGGGUUUAAAGGGAGCGCAGGCGGAGAUGCAAGCGUGACGUCAAAUUUCGGGGCUCAACCCCGUCUCGCGUCGCGAACUGCGUCCCUUGGUUGCGGGAAGGGGAGGCGGAACUCGUGGGGUAGCGGUGAAAUGCAUAGAUAUCACGAAGAACUCCGAUCGCGAAGGCAGCCUUCCGGCCCGUCAACGACGCUCAUGCUCGAAGGUGCGGGUAUCAAACAGGAUUAGAUACCCUGGUAGUCCGCACAGUAAACGAUGGACACCCGCGGUUUGGCCUGUAUGGCUGAGCCGCCAAGCGAAAGCGUUAAGUGUCCCACCUGGGGAGUACGCCGGCAACGGUGAAACUCAAAUGAAUUGGCGGGG
rnacentral:rRNA from 1 species